UUCCAGGCAAAUCCGGAAAAUCAAGGCUGAGGCGUGAUGACGAGGCACUACGGUGCUGAAGCAACAAAUGCCCUGCUUCCAGGAAAAGCCUCUAAGCAUCAGGUAACAUUAAAUCGUACCCCAAACCGACACAGGUGGUCAGGUAGAGAAUACCAAGGCGCUUGAGAGAACUCGGGUGAAGGAACUAGGCAAAAUGGUGCCGUAACUUCGGGAGAAGGCACGCUGAUAUGUAGGUGAAGUCCCUCGCGGAUGGAGCUGAAAUCAGUCGAAGAUACCAGCUGGCUGCAACUGUUUAUUAAAAACACAGCACUGUGCAAACACGAAAGUGGACGUAUACGGUGUGACGCCUGCCCGGUGCCGGAAGGUUAAUUGAUGGGGUUAGCGGUAACGCGAAGCUCUUGAUCGAAGCCCCGGUAAACGGCGGCCGUAACUAUAACGGUCCUAAGGUAGCGAAAUUCCUUGUCGGGUAAGUUCCGACCUGCACGAAUGGCGUAAUGAUGGCCAGGCUGUCUCCACCCGAGACUCAGUGAAAUUGAACUCGCUGUGAAGAUGCAGUGUACCCGCGGCAAGACGGAAAGACCCCGUGAACCUUUACUAUAGCUUGACACUGAACAUUGAGCCUUGAUGUGUAGGAUAGGUGGGAGGCUUUGAAGUGUGGACGCCAGUCUGCAUGGAGCCGACCUUGAAAUACCACCCUUUAAUGUUUGAUGUUCUAACGUUGACCCGUGAUCCGGGUUGCGGACAGUGUCUGGUGGGUAGUUUGACUGGGGCGGUCUCCUCCUAAAGAGUAACGGAGGAGCACGAAGGUUGGCUAAUCCUGGUCGGACAUCAGGAGGUUAGUGCAAUGGCAUAAGCCAGCUUGACUGCGAGCGUGACGGCGCGAGCAGGUGCGAAAGCAGGUCAUAGUGAUCCGGUGGUUCUGAAUGGAAGGGCCAUCGCUCAACGGAUAAAAGGUACUCCGGGGAUAACAGGCUGAUACCGCCCAAGAGUUCAUAUCGACGGCGGUGUUUGGCACCUCGAUGUCGGCUCAUCACAUCCUGGGGCUGAAGUAGGUCCCAAGGGUAUGGCUGUUCGCCAUUUAAAGUGGUACGCGAGCUGGGUUUAGAACGUCGUGAGACAGUUCGGUCCCUAUCUGCCGUGGGCGCUGGAGAACUGAGGGGGGCUGCUCCUAGUACGAGAGGACCGGAGUGGACGCAUCACUGGUGUUCGGGUUGUCAUGCCAAUGGCACUGCCCGGUAGCUAAAUGCGGAAGAGAUAAGUGCUGAAAGCAUCUAAGCACGAAACUUGCC
rnacentral:rRNA from 1 species